UACGAAGGGGGCUAGCGUUGUUCGGAAUUACUGGGCGUAAAGCGCACGUAGGCGGAUUUGCCAGUCAGGGGUGAAAUCCCGGGGCUCAACCUCGGAACUGCGCUUGAUACAGCAAAUCUUGAGUCCGGAAGAGGUGAGUGGAAUUCCUAGUGUAGAGGUGAAAUUCGUAGAUAUUAGGAAGAACACCAGUGGCGAAGGCGGCUCACUGGGCCGGGACUGACGCUGAGGUGCGAAAGCGUGGGGAGCAAACAGG
rnacentral:rRNA from 1 species